GAUGAACGCUAGCGGCAGGCUUAACACAUGCAAGUCGAGGGGCAGCAUAAUGGAUAGCAAUAUCUAUGGUGGCGACCGGCGCACGGGUGCGUAACGCGUAUGCAACCUACCUUUAACAGGGGGAUAACACUGAGAAAUUGGUACUAAUACCCCAUAAUAUCAUAGAAGGCAUCUUUUAUGGUUGAAAAUUCCGAUGGUUAGAGAUGGGCAUGCGUUGUAUUAGCUAGUUGGUGGGGUAACGGCUCACCAAGGCGACGAUACAUAGGGGGACUGAGAGGUUAACCCCCCACACUGGUACUGAGACACGGACCAGACUCCUACGGGAGGCAGUAGUGAGGAAUAUUGGUCAAUGGACGCAAGUCUGAACCAGCCAUGCCGCGUGCAGGAUGACGGCUCUAUGAGUUGUAAACUGCUUUUGUACGAGGGUAAACGCAGAUACGUGUAUCUGUCUGAAAGUAUCGGACGAAUAAGGAUCGGCUAACUCCGUG
rnacentral:rRNA from 1 species